GCAUGCCAGCCCCGAGUCUUUUGCGGUCUUCCACCUGCUGUUGCUCCUGAGAACGAGGCUACCGGCAAGGCGGGGGGAGGGGAGGCGGUGUGAGAGCCGUCCCAGGGGCUGAGAGAGGUGGGCGGGGGGGCGCCGAGGCUGCUGGGUUACCCGGUGGUUUGGCUGGAGCCAGCGGCUGAGACUGAGGGGUUGUUCCAGGGGUGGCUGUCGUUUGUGUCCUGAGCCCCCAUAAACAGACCCGGACCCCCCCGUGCCUGGUGUUAUACAGACACAAAACAAAGACAGUCCCUGCUUCAGAGAGCUUACAAGGGCGUUACCAUGGGGACAGGAGUUUCCAGCCCCAUCUCGUCGGGACAAGACCGUGCCCAUGCUCGCUGCUCUCAGCCCCCCCGCCAUGGCCCCAGCCAGGGCAGGGGGGAGGCUGAGAGCUCGCUUGGGGCCACUGGAAAAGCUCUGUGACUGUGCUCCUGGCCCCGGCCCGCCUCCUUACCCCUGUCUGUGUCCGGUCCCCUGCCCCCCACCCCCAUCACACUGUGGUAGUGUCAAGUAAGUUAUCACGAUUUUUGGUGACUACUGUUCUGUCUAGUGAAGACGGAGCGAUCAAAAAGGAGUUAUGCCUGGAAUUACGUCACAAAAAUAGCAGAAGACACCGUUAAAUGUAGACUGUGUCAUACAGACCUGAGGUCAAGAAAAUGCAACACACAACGUGAGGAAAAACUAACAGAGUUGUUGUGCGCCAUGAUCACUACAGAUAUGCUGCCUGUAAGUGUCGUUGACAGUACAGAUUUUCAGGCAUGAGUUGAAGAGUUUUGUAGAACCUGAAUACUGUGUGCCUGUGAGACAGAAAAUAACCUCUCGACUAGAGAAGUGCUAUGAAGACUGUGUGAAGUCUGUUUGGGAAAAAUUGGAAAACACCGUUAAAGUAGCUUUCACCACUGAAUGCUGGGCAGCAUUAACUACAGAAAGCUUCAUGACUGUCACUUGCCAUUAUAUUGAAAAUUGGGAACUUCGAUCUGCAGUUGUACAAACCGAAAGUAUGGCAGAAUGAUAUACCGCGGAACACCUUGCUGAAAAAUUAAAUGCUACAGUGGAAAGAUGGGGUCUGGCAGACCGUGUCUCGGUGUGCAUACACGAUAAUGAAAGCAACAUUGCGCUCGCCAACACAUCAAGAUCGCUGCUAAAUCAAAGCUCCUGCAACUUGCGUCCAUGUUAGAAAUAGAAGAACCUCCACGUACUAGGGCUGAACCAAGCAGUACUGAACCGGAUGAGCGGAUAGAGCCAGCGCCAAAAAAAAUCCAUUAAACUGAGAAGAGUGCUAUACUGUAGUGAUGCUUUUAGGUUAAGAUUACACCAAAAAGGAGAAUGAGGAGAAUGCAGUAGAAAAUGAACUGGAAAAUUACUUCAGGGAGCCUCGUCCUUCAUUGGAAUGCAGUCCAUUUGAGUGGUGGAAGGUCAAUGCAUAGCGUUUUCCAAGGCUUGGAAAACUGGCAGAGUUACCUUUGCAUUCCAGAAACAUCUGUGCGUGCAGAACGUGUGUUUUCCAAUGCUGGCCUUACUAUUAAUCAGCUGUGCACAAGACUGAUACCAGAGCAUGUAAACAUGUUAAUUUUUCUUAACAAAAAUCAGCAGUAGAGUUGAAAUUCUAAUUGGACUUUUUAUGGUUUUGGACAGCUCGGGGAUAUUAUGUAAAAAGUUAAACAAAAAAGUGGGUUUUACACAUAAGACUGUCUAUUUUUGUUGUUAAUAAAGACAGUUGUCAAAGGUAA